ACCACUCCUGUGUGUGCAUCAUCGUCCUAUCUUGUAUAGGAGCUCUAGCUAGCUGCAACUAGUUAGCGUUGUAGGAUUAAGUGUGAGCGUGGUGCUCAUACUUGAGAUUACCUUUGAUUACCGCUGGCUUGAACGGAAAGUAGGAGCGCACUCCAUAGUAGGUGACAGAUCGUGGGCGGCAUUAGGUUCUCCUCACGUACAGGCUAGUUCUUAAAAGGUAAGGCGUCCAUAAGCCCAAUAGUCGCUUUUGGUAAGGGGUUAGGUGAAAAACCUUCUAAGCGUCUUACCAGCUCGGCUAUCCCUCACACACAGUUAGUAAGGCUCUAGCGUAGUUAAGACAAUUAUCUAUUAAAGUAAGUCACAGAAGUCAAGUU
rnacentral:lncRNA from 1 species